GACGGAGGGGGCAAGCGUUGUUCGGAAUUACUGGGCGUAAAGGGCUCGUAGGUGGCCAACUAAGUCAGACGUGAAAUCCCUCAGCUUAACUGGGGAACUGCGUCUGAUACUGGAUGGCUUGAGUUUGGGAGAGGGAUGCGGAAUUCCAGGUGUAGCGGUGAAAUGCGUAGAUAUCUGGAGGAAUACCGAUGGCGAAGGCAGGUCUCUGGGCCAAUACUGACGCUCAUGCACGAAAGCGUGGGGAGCAAACAGG
rnacentral:rRNA from 1 species